rnacentral:rRNA from 1 species
AUUGAACGCUGGCGGCGUGCCUAACACAUGCAAGUCGAGCGGUAACAGGUGUAGCAAUACAUGCUGACGAGCGGCGGACGGGUGAGUAACGCUUGGGAAUCUGCCUGUUAGUGGGGGACAACCCGGGGAAACUCGGGCUAAUACCGCAUACGCACUACGGUGGAAAGCCGGGGACCGCAAGGCCUGGCGCUAACAGAUGAGCCCAAGUCGGAUUAGCUAGUUGGUAGGGAACGGCCUACCAAGGCGACGAUCCGUAACUGGUCUGAGAGGACGACCAGUCACACCGGAACUGAGACACGGUCCGGACUCCUACGGGAGGCAGCAGUGGGGAAUAUUGGACAAUGGGCGAAAGCCUGAUCCAGCGACGCCGCGUGGGUGAAGAAGGCCUGCGGGUUGUAAAGCCCUUUCGGUGGGGAAGAAAAGCCUCGAGUUAAUACCUCGGGGUCUUGACGUAACCCAUAGAAGAAGCACCGGCUAACUC